UACAGGGGGUGCAAACGUUGUUCGGAAUUACUGGGCGUAAAGCGCGCGUAGGCGGACCUGCAAGUCGGGGGUGAAAGCCCGAGGCUCAACCUCGGAACUGCCUUCGAUACUGCGGGUCUCGAGUCCGGGAGAGGUGAGUGGAAUUCCUAGUGUAGAGGUGAAAUUCGUAGAUAUUAGGAAGAACACCAGUGGCGAAGGCGGCUCACUGGCCCGGUACUGACGCUGAGGCGCGAAAGCGUGGGGAGCAAACAGG
rnacentral:rRNA from 1 species